UCAGGACAACUUGUUUUUCCCCCAACAGAAAUCACUAGAUUAAUCUAUCGAGAUACCAUGAAUAACCUCUCCGCAUCUAUAAUGUAACAGAUAUUAUUGCAGCCGAUCUCCACCUUCUCUGAUGUAGUACAAAUUAGUAAAAUAUAUUCCCCCAUUUUCAUUGGUCUUUCUCUAUCUUUCGUGUAUUUUUUUAAUAAACACGUCUCUCUUUUCAUGUACCAUAAAUAUAUCUUUGUUCAUAGCUUUUCUUAGUCUAUUGAUGAAAUAUAAAGAGAAUGCAUAAAAAAUGACAAGCACAUACGCAUCUAUAAUCAACAAAAUACUAAAUUAACACGAAAGCAGAUAAUUAUAAUAAAAAAUUAGUUUAUGAGCUUAUUGGGUAGUUUCACUAUAUUUUUUUUUCUCCCUACCAUUAGAGCUAUUCAUGGACCAAAUUUUGAAAUUAUACUAUAUUCAUUUUUAGUCAAACUUCGGAC
rnacentral:lncRNA from 1 species